rnacentral:rRNA from 1 species
AUUGAACGCUGGCGGCAGGCCUAACACAUGCAAGUCGAGCGGACGAAGGGAGCUUGCUCCUGGAUGCAGCGGCGGACGGGUGAGUAAUGCCUAGGAAUCUGCCUGGCAGUGGGGGAUAACGUCCGGAAACGGGCGCUAAUACCGCAUACGUCCAGAUGGAGAAAGGGGGGGAUCUUCGGAGCUCACGCGAUCAGAUGAGCCUAGGCCGGAUUAGCUAGUUGGUGGGGUAACGGCCUACCAAGGCGACGAUCCGUAACUGGCCUGAGAGGAUGAUCAGCCACCCUGGACCUGAGACACGGUCCAGACUCCUACGGGAGGCAGCAGUGGGGAAUAUUGCACAAUGGGCGAAAGCCUGAUCCAGCCAUGCCGCGUGUGUGAAGAAGGUCUUCGGAUCGUAAAGCUCUUUAAGUUGGGAGGAAGGGCUGUAAGUUUAACCCUUCCUGUUUUGACGUUACCAACAGAGUAAGCACCGGCUAACUUCGUG